CAGUUGUGUUUGGUGCUGCUC
rnacentral:siRNA from 1 species